rnacentral:misc_RNA from 1 species
AUGAAUUCAUAGUGCUAGUGGCAUAGAGAGUUUUGUUUGGUGGACAUCCCUAAACACAGUUAAAAACUAUGUUAUACCAGUAUUACAUGAUUGUUAGUUAGAGGGAAUCAUCAAGUGUGUCCUUUCUUUAGCAUUCAAUGGAAUGGGUUUCUCCAUGUGGCCAAGAGCCUAAAGCUAGGUUAUAUUAUUAGUUACCUAACUGUGUGCAAAAACUAUAUUUGACUAAUCCUUUGAUGUGGCAAUGGAGGGAAUCACUAGUGCCACAAGGCACCAAAGAAAAUUGUUUGGCGAGUACCAUUGAAGAGGCUAAAAUGUCAUAUAUAUGGCAGACUACAAGUUAACACACUUUAGAAUCCUUGGGGCGUUUAUAUUGGUUUGGCUUUGGUACCAUUUAUUUAUGCUCGAGGAAUGCCCAAGAAGAUUAUUGAUAACAUUAUUUUUACAAAUUAUUCUUAAUGUAAUAUUUGAUCUUUAUCAUGGAACUUAUUUUUGCUCAAACAUGGCAUUAUGUCUUGAACUAUGGUCCUUAAACAUGGCUCUGGUGUUCUUCAGUUUGAGAUUAAUUUGAUUGCACUGAGUCCUGAUAGAAUGAAUCUAAAGUUGCUGUGCUAGUUAGCUAUUGCAUAGCAGAAUCUCAGAACACCAGAACACCAGAAUUAGAAGAGAGAGAGAGAGAGAG